rnacentral:tRNA from 1 species
GGGGUUGUGGCUCAGUGGUAGAGCACUUGCCUAGCAUGCAUGAGGCACUGGGUUCG